UUGUGUGAAAAGCGGCGCGGUUAACAGUGAUUUCACCACCUCUAUUAUAGUUAAAGUUAAUUAAUUAAUAAUUUGGAAAACGUUCUAAAAAAUGAAAACUGCAAGGGAAAUAAUGCACCUUUGAACAAAAUAAAAGGUCACAAGCAAAAACUCGAUGAAGCUAAUUUCUAUGGCAUCAACUGUAUGAACACACUGUAGGGAUAACUCAUAUAAAUCUACAUGGAAGAGAGAAUAUGCACACCACGCAUACUGUUGUAACCCAUUUUUGGGUCCCCACAAAAUAUAUAUAAAAAUAUAUAGCCAAAGGAGGUUAGAAAAAUAACAGGAGGCAGAAGCGCUCAGAAAAUGGUUGGAAAAUUGGUCAAUGAGGUUAAAAAUACAAAGAUUGGAUUUUUGACAGUAUAUUCUUGAAGGAGGAGAGCCCUGUUGAGAAGAAAAAUUUGAAAUUUGAGGAGAAAAGCCCAAAUUUGGAUGUUUAUGGACUUAAUUGGAUUUUUAAAUGAAUUUAUAGGAGAUUUGAUUGUAAGAUAAAUUGAUUUUUAAGUCAAUUUGGGCUUUAAUUAGAAGAAAUUUAAGUUCUGGGGCCAAAAUAUAUUUUUUAGGAAUUUAUUAGGUCAAAUCAGGGGCCUAAUUGCAUAAAUAUUGAAGUUUAAGGGCCAAUUGGGGACUUAAUUGAGAAAAUUUGAAACCAGGGACCAAAUUGGAAGAGGCGCGUAAAUGGAGGGGCUGGAAUUAAUUGAUUCAGGGGCCUAAUUGAAGAAAUUGGAAGUUUUUUGAUCAAUUAAGGGCUCAAUUGCAUAAAUCAGAGGCCAAGGACUAAAGUGAAAAACGCGGCCAACAAGAGGGGCGAAGACCGAAAUUGGCAGGGAUGCAAUUGAAGGAAAAAAAAGAUGAUUAAGGGCUAAUUUGGAAUUUGGCGCGUUCUGGCGCCACAUUUAAAUGAAACGGCGCGUUUUCUCCAAAACGACGCCGUUUCAUACAUUAAAAAAAAAAGAAAAGAAGAAAGAGCAGAACGGUGGCGUUUUGAACGACACUGUUCCUCUUUCUUCUUCCCCCCGAACAUGCAGCGGGGAAGAAGGAAAAAGGAUGCUUUAAUUUGAAUUUUUUGCCGGUCCUUCUCUCGCCUGGAGCCCACCGACCGAACACACUGGCCGACCACGCACCUGCUAGAAAACCGGGUGGAGCCGAACCUUGGCAGUCGCGCCCAAUGGCCGAUCACCCGGCUGCUCCCCAUGAGAAAAAGCCACGCCCUUGGCUCUAUAAAUAGAACCCAAGAACGCUGAGAAAUGGACGAGGAGGAAGGGUGAGAAAGACCCGAAAGGAGAGAACGGAGAGGGGGAGAAAAAAAGAAAGAAAACCCGAAAAGAGGAGAGAGACCCGAAGAAGAGAGAAACCGAGAGGAGAGAAAACAAAAAAAACAGAGAAAAGAAAAAAAACAGACCGAGAGAAGAGAGGGAAGGGAAGAAAAAAGGAAGACCGAAACAUAGGAAGAGGAAGGAAGAGUUGAAAAUUUAGGGAAAACAAACCGGGAGGGCUGUCACGGGAAAACACUAAAAAAUAGAGCGCCGCCGCUGCUUGGAGCCGCCGUCCGUGAGCCAAGACGCCGCCACCAGCCUCCGCCACAGCACCGCCAGAAACGCAGCAAGCCACCGCCUCUGUGCCAGGUAACUAUUCUCUACCCUCACUCUUGUUUUUUUUUUCCUUUUCUGCAUGCAGAACGAAUAGCGUUCUGCAUGCAGGGGUGGGGGGAAAAUAAUCCCCCCCGCCCGUUUUGGUUGCUGGGCCAGGCGGAUCCUGGCCCAGCCCUGCCUUCUGGGCCGGUCCUGGUCCAGAAGGGAAUAUUAGAUUUUUGGGCCAAAGUCGGCCCAAUUCAUUUUGGGCCGAGAUCGGCCCAACACCUUUGGGGCUGCGUCCGGCCUAGCUGGCUGGGCCGGCCCAGCCCAGCCCAAUUUAAUUUUAUAUUAUGUAUAUUAUUUGUUUGUUGCAUUAUAUAUAUAUAUAUAUAUGAAAAAAUUACGAAAAUUCUGCAAAAAUUAUUUUAAAAAUAUUGUUGAUUUUUCUGCAUUUGUUUUAUCAAAAUGGAUUAAUAUUUGGUUGUAUUUUUAUACCGUAAGGAUACAAAACCCAGUAUUAAAAUACCCGAUUUGCGUCAAAACAUACAAAAAAAUACAUAUUUAAAAAAUGUUUUGUUUUAAAAUACGGCCUAGUCUCUCCAAUAUAUAUAUAUAUAUAUUAUAACAUCAUAUUUUUCAUAUAACAAAUUUCAUAUAACAAAGAAAAUUUCAAAACAAUAUAUGUAUUAGCAUGCAUUUUGGCUUUAAUAACCAGUUUGUUCAAGCCAUGAGAACUAGGCCAAUAUUUCAAAAAUUCUAAAAAAUCUUUUUGUUUACGAAUAUUAAACAUAAAACGUAUUCCUGAUAUUAAAAAUAUGGUUUUUUUACAUAGACGUUAGAACGGUUAGGUUUUACCCGAUAAGAUAAGGACCUCCUUAUUGAGGAGGACUUUUCUUGAACCAUAGACGGACCAACAUACAUAGACGUUAGAACGGUUAGGUUUUACCCGAUAAGAUAAGGACCUCCUUAUUGAGGAGGACUUUUCUUGAACCAUAGACGGACCAACAACUAGGAAACACAACGAGACCUUGAAUUUUAUCAGACAAAUAAACAAUGCAGCUUACCUUAGGUAGGGCGUAUUUGGGGUGCUAAUACCUUCCCUUUACGCAACCAGUCCCCGUGCCCGAUCUCUGAGACCAGUUAGGGUUCCUAGUGACCAAAAUACUAGGUGGCGACUCCCACACCUUUUUUUCAUUGCUAAGAGACAAAGAAUUCCUUGUCUCCUCAUAUUUACCAUAUAUAUAUAUCCCCCCAUCACACAUUUGAGGGUGGACGAUCGCCGCGACGUCGCGCACCCGCGACAGAAUGGCAACUCCACUGGGGACCUUGUGGACUAAGCUUUGUUUUUGUCUGAUUUGUUUUUUGUUUUUGUGGGUUUAUUGUUAAAUAUAGAACUGUCUCAUAUGCUUUAAAUAUUGUACAUAUAUUUUACACAUAUUGUUCAUGCAUUAUAUAGAACUGUCUCAUGCAUCACAUACUUUGACAUAUAUUUUACACAUAUUGUUCAUGCAUUAUAUAGAACUGUCUCAUGCAUCACAUACUUUGAUUAUUGAGAGCACACACAAACUUUAAGUUAAGUGGGGGACUAGCAGCUUACCUUACGACUGUUAGUCAAGGUUUAAGUUUGUGUAAACCCCAACUCUUCGCUGAGUGCUUAGACUGGCAAUAGUUGGUACAUGUGCCAUCUCAUUGCCUACAAGCCCCCAUAUUGCCUCCACGAGGGCAAUCACUGGGACAACAAGAGACCCUUUUUAGAGACUGAAUAGCCAACCUACCCUCGUCAAGCACAAAAGAUUUAGAACCGGCUAUAGGGUGUAUGCUCCACAAAGUACAUUUUGCAUAAAACAACCUAAACCAUAAAGCAUUUGGUUUUCAGGUCUUUUGAAACGAUAAGAUGGCCAUCAUUACCAAAUUUACUACUGUGGAAUAUGGGCAGAAUUCUGAAUUGUCACAACUAUCAGAAGGAGAUUGCUCUAGAUAUGAUGCAAGGAAGCUUCCAGUAGUCAAAGACUUGAAUUGCGUAAUAUAUGAGAUGAAGAGAAUAUUGGGCCAUAGUCAAAACAUUGAUGAGGCGGCAUUCUUCGGAAAGUAUGGGCGAUUGUUGGAAAUAACAAAGAUAGAAGUAUUGAACCCAGCAAUCAAAGCUUUGAUUAACUUUUAGGAUCCCGAUUACAGAUGCUUUUCCUUUGGAAAUGUGGAUUUGUGUCCCACUAUAGAGGAGUAUGGAAUGUUGACGGAGUUUCCCAAACACCUGCACCGAGUUUAUUUUCCUUUGAGAAAUGACAAGGUGAUUCCUGAGUUGUCAAAAUUGCUGAAGAUUCCACAUUUGAGCAGAUUUUUAGAGAAGAAUGGCAGCGGUUUAAAGUGGAAAUUUCUGGAGGUUGAACUAGAAAAGAAAAAAGAGCAAUACGGGUCAAUGCUAGAAAGAGACAAGUUAAUCGCUCUGGGGAUCUAUGGGCUCGUGUUAUUUCCAAGCUUAAUAGGGGUUAUAAGCCUAGAAGCUGCUGCUGCAUUCAUGGAAUAUGAAAAUACUCAUGUCAACCCUACAACUGCCAUAUUAGCUGAGACCUUUCUGACCCUCAACCAUUUUAAAAAGACGGGGAAAGGCGCAAUGAGAUGUUGUACUCAAUUAUUAUACAUCUGGAUGGUAAGCCAUGUUGAAACCAAGAAGCCGAUCUUUAAUAAUUUUUGGUGGUUUAACCAAAAACCCUUGAAGAUAAUGGAGGAAGAAGAAUGGGGAAUCCUAGGUGAUCAAGGUUGGAUGGAAAAACUGCAAGAGUUACCUAGUAGCAGCUUUAGUUGGAAGGCCCCUUGGGUUAAAUCAGUGGAUGUCAUAGUAAGUUGCGGACAAAAAUGCUGGGUACCUUUAAUUGGGAUCACAGGUUAUGUCAGCUAUGCUCCGGCUCUGGUGAUAAGACAAUUAGGUGGCAUACAACACAUCCCAAGAACUGUGGGACUUGCUGAAUUUUUCGGGUUUUUCAAGGAUCAAUCCGCGAAAGAAGUUCUUGAAACCAUCAAACAAGAUUGGUGCCAUUUGACUAUAAUUCAAAAGGAGUCAGAAAGUUUGAGAGACCCUAGCUCAAGUGAAGGAUAUGAAAAGUGGAGGAAUUUGACCCUGAUUGCCGCUCCGAAAAAACCAUGUCAUAAAGACGGGCCUUCACGAAUUAAAGAAAGGUCGUUGAAAAGAAAAAAGGUCAGUAAUGAGAAAGACCUUAUGGAGCAAUUAGAAAGAUUACAAGUAGAAUUGGGAAAGAGUAAGGGAGAUAAAGCAGCAUUAGAAAGGAUGAUGAUGGAAGGAGAUAAAAGCAGAGUGUUUCUGAACGAACAGCUCGAAUCUAGAGAUGCGAAAAUAGUGAUGUUAGAGCUGCAAUUGAGCAAAGGAAAGGCUGUAAUAGAAGAGUCCGAGAAAGAAAGAGGAAGACUGAUUUUGGAUUGGAUGCAAAGCAGCUCUGAAUUAGAAGCGUUGAAAGCCGACUUCAACGACUAUCAAGAGAAUGUCGAGGACAAAUUCUUGCAUGUUCAAGCAGAGUUGUUGGACCAAAUUGAGAAGUAUGAAAUUCGCCAGUGGACUGGUUAUUCUGUAGCGGGUGCGCGACGUCGCGACGAUCGUCCACCCUCAAAUGUGUGAUCGGGGGAUAUAUAUAUAUGGUAAAUAUGAGGAGACAAGGAAUUCUUUGUCUCUUAGCAAUGAAAAAAAGGUGUGGGAGUCGCCACCUAGUAUUUUGGUCACUAGGAACCCUAACUGGUCUCAGAGAUCGGGCACGGGGACUGGUUGCGUAAAGGGAAGGUAUUAGCACCCCAAAUACGCCCUACCUAAGGUAAGCUGCAUUGUUUAUUUGUCUGAUAAAAUUCAAGGUCUCGUUGUGUUUCCUAGUUGUUGGUCCGUCUAUGGUUCAAGAAAAGUCCUCCUCAAUAAGGAGGUCCUUAUCUUAUCGGGUAAAACCUAACCGUUCUAACGUCUAUGUAUGUUGGUCCGUCUAUGGUUCAAGAAAAGUCCUCCUCAAUAAGGAGGUCCUUAUCUUAUCGGGUAAAACCUAACCGUUCUAACGUCUAUGUAAAAAAACCAUAUUUUUAAUAUCAGGAAUACGUUUUAUGUUUAAUAUUCGUAAACAAAAAGAUUUUUUAGAAUUUUUGAAAUAUUGGCCUAGUUCUCAUGGCUUGAACAAACUGGUUAUUAAAGCCAAAAUGCAUGCUAAUACAUAUAUUGUUUUGAAAUUUUCUUUGUUAUAUGAAAAAUAUGAUGUUAUAAUAUAUAUAUAUAUAUAUUGGAGAGACUAGGCCGUAUUUUAAAACAAAACAUUUUUUAAAUAUGUAUUUUUUUGUAUGUUUUGACGCAAAUUGGGUAUUUUAAUACUGGGUUUUGUAUCCUUACGGUAUAAAAAUACAACCAAAUAUUAAUCCAUUUUGAUAAAACAAAUGCAGAAAAAUCAACAAUAUUUUUAAAAUAAUUUUUGCAGAAUUUUCGUAAUUUUUUCAUAUAUAUAUAUAUAUAUGUAUAUAUAUAUAUAUAUAAAUAAUGCAACAAACAAAUAAUAUACAUAAUAUAAAAUUAAAUUGGGCUGGGCUGGGCCGGCCCAGCCAGCUAGGCCGGACGCAGCCCCAAAGGUGUUGGGCCGAUCUCGGCCCAAAAUGAAUUGGGCCGACUUUGGCCCAAAAAUCUAAUAUUCCCUUCUGGACCAGGACCGGCCCAGAAGGCAGGGCUGGGCCAGGAUCCGCCUGGCCCAGCAACCAAAACGGGCGGGGGGGAUUAUUUUCCCCCCACCCCUGCAUGCAGAACGCUAUUCGUUCUGCAUGCAGAAAAGGAAAAAAAAAACAAGAGUGAGGGUAGAGAAUAGUUACCUGGCACAGAGGCGGUGGCUUGCUGCGUUUCUGGCGUUGCUGUGGCGGAGGCUGGUGGCGGCGUCUUGGCUCACGGACAGCGGCUCCAAGCAGCAGCGGCGGCGCUCUGUUUUUUAGUGUUUUCCCGUGACAGCCCUCCCGGUUUGUUUUCCCCAAAUUUUCAACUCUUCCUUCCUCUUCCUAUGUUUCGGUCUUCCUUUUUUCUUCCCUUCCCUCUCUUCUCUCGGUCUGUUUUUUUUCUUUUCUCUGUUUUUUUUGUUUUCUCUCCUCUCGGUUUCUCUCUUCUUCGGGUCUCUCUCCUCUUUUCGGGUUUUCUUUCUUUUUUUCUCCCCCUCUCCGUUCUCUCCUUUCGGGUCUUUCUCACCCUUCCUCCUCGUCCAUUUCUCAGCGUUCUUGGGUUCUAUUUAUAGAGCCAAGGGCGUGGCUUUUUCUCAUGGGGAGCAGCCGGGUGAUCAGCCAUUGGGCGCGACUGCCAAGGUUCGGCUCCACCCGGUUUUCUGGCAGGUGCGUGGUCGGCCAGUGUGUUCGGUCGGUGGGAUCCAGGCGAGAGAAGGACCGGCAAAAAAUUCAAAUUAAAGCAUCCUUUUUCCUUCUUCCCCGCUGCAUGUUCGGGGGGAAGAAGAAAGAGGAACAAUGUCGUUCAAAACGCCACCGUUCUGCUCUUUCUUUUUUUUUUUUUUUUGAAUGUAUGAAACGGCGUCGUUUUGGAGAAAACACGCCGUUUCAUUUAAAUGUGGCGCCAGAACGCGCCAAAUUCCAAAUCAGCCCUUAAUCAUCUUUUUUUUCCUUCAAUUGCAUCCCUGCCAAUUUCGGUCUUCGCCCCUCUUGUUGGCCGCGUUUUUCACUUUAGUCCUUGGCGUCUGAUUUAUGCAAUUGAGCCCUUAAUUGAUCAAAAAACUUCCAAUUUCUUCAAUUAGGCCCCUGAAUCAAUUAAUUCCAGCCCCUCCAUUUACGCGCCUCUUCCAAUUUGGUUCCUGGUUUCAGAUUUUCUCAAUUAAGUCCCCAAUUGGCCCUUAAACUUCAAUAUUUAUGCAAUUAGGCCCCUGAUUUGACCUAAUAAAUUCCUAAAAAAUAUAUUUUGGCCCCAGAACUUAAAUUUCUUCUAAUUAAAGCCCAAAUCGACUUAAAAAUCAAUUUAUCUUACAAUCAAAUCUCCUAUAAAUUCAUUUAAAAAUCCAAUUAAGUCCAUAAACAUCCAAAUUUGGGCUUUUCUCCUCAAAUUUCAAAUUUUCCUUCUCAACAGGGCUCUCCUCCUUCAAGAAUAUACUGUCAAAAAUCCAAUCUUUGUAUUUUUAACCUCAUUGACCAAUUUUCCAACCAUUUUCUGAGCGCUUCUGCCUCCUGUUAUUUUUCUAACCUCCUCUGGCUAUAUAUUUUUAUAUAUAUUUUGUGGGGACCCAAAAAUGGGUUACAACAGAUGCCCCCUCUUUAUAAUGCUUACGGAGCAGAGGUUUUGCGCAGUAAGUUUUAUAAAGAUAAACCCAAAACGGAACUCCCGAAACUGAUCUGGUUGAAGCUUGAUUGAUCUGAAACUUGUCUUUUACAACAAUCCUCCUCAACUUGGAAUCCCAUCUGGCGAUUCCUUUUUUUUUUUUUUUAACCAACAUGAAAUACGAGGUCCCAUCUGGCGACCUUCAAAUAGCGAAACAUGAGAUCCCUUUUGGCGAUCUCCUUCAACUUGGAAUCUCAUCUGGCAAUUCCUUUUAUUCAAACGAAAUAUGAGGUCCCAUCUGGCGACCUCCAAAUAGCGAAAUACGAGAUCCCUUCUGGCGAUCUCCUUUAUUCAACUUGGAAUCCCAUCUGGCGAUUCCUUUUAACCAACAUGUAAUACGAGGUCCCAUCUGGCGACCUCCAAAUAGCAAAACACGAGAUCCCUUCUAGCGAUCUUCUUUAAUCAACUUGGAAUCCCAUCUGGCGAUUCCUUUUAUUCAAACGAAAUAUGAGGUCCCAUCUGGCGACCUCCAAAUAGCGAAAUACGAGAUCCCUUCUGGCGAUCUCCCUCAACUUGGAAUCCCAUCUAGCGAUUCCUUUUGUUCAACAGGUAAUACGAGGUCCCAUCUGGCGACCUCCAAAUAGCGAAACACGAGAUCCCUUCUAGCGAUCUCCUUUAUUCAACUUGGAAUCCCAUCUGGCGAUUCCUUUUAACAAACAUGAAACAUGAGGUCCCAUCUGGCGACCUCCAAAUAGCAAAAUACGAGAUCCCCUCUGGCGAUCUCCAUCAACUUGGAAUCCCAUCUGGCGACCUCCAAAUAGCGAAAUACGAGAUCCCUUCUGGCGAUCUCCUUCAACUUGGAAUCCCAUCUGGCAAUUCCUUUUAUUCAACAGGUAAUACGAGGUCCCAUCUGGCGACCUCCAAAUAGCGAAACACGAGAUCCCUUUUGGCGAUCUCCUUUAUUCAACUUGGAAUUCCAUCUGGCGAUUCCUUUUAACCAACAUGUAAUACGAGGUCCCAUCUGGCGACCUCCAAAAAGCGAAACACGAGAUCCCUUCUGGCGAUCUCCUUUAAUCAACUUGGAAUCCCAUCUGGCGAUUCCUUUUAACCAACAUGUAAUACGAGGUCCCAUCUGGCGACCUCCAAAAAGCGAAACACGAGAUCCCUUCUGACGAUCUCCUUUAAUCAUCUUGGAAUCCCAUCUGGCGAUUCCUUUCAACCAACAUGAAAUAUGAGGUCCCAUCUAGUGAACUCCUAAUAGCGAAACACGAGAUCCCUUCUGGCGAUCUCCUUUAAUCAACUUGGAAUCCCAUCUGGCGAUUCCUUAAACGAAAUACGAGGUCCCUUCUGGCGACCUCCUUUGACCGAUAUCGAAAUACGAGAUCCCUUCUGGCGAUCUCAAACAACUUGGAAUCCCAUCUGGCGAUUCCUUUUAUUCGAAUCUGAAAUAAUAAGAUCCCUUCUGGCGAUCUCCUUUAAUCAAAAACCCAAAAAAUCUAUUUUGUAAAUCGGUCAACCUGGAAUCCCAUCUGGCGAUUCCCUUUUACCGAUUGCUCGAUGUCGUUCUUCCUGAUGGCAGGGUUUGAAAAUUAUUAUCUUCUCGUUGUUCUAGAAUCAACUCAAUGAUUCUUUCUUCGUCCACAAUCUUGUUUGGAAUGCACUAAGGUCUUCUCCUGUAACGAAAAAAACAUAUAUGCAAUGAUUUAUGAUUAGAUGUCAUGCAUGCAUUCGUACCUGGUUUUGAAACAUAGGCCCCAUCCUCUUCUUCUAGUUCAUGAGACUCCCUCUUAACAUGAGCUUGCUUUUGAAGUCGUAUGCUGGAUUCAUCUCUCGUGUUGCCUCCUAUCAUAUUCUUGGAGAAGAAGUCUCUGACUUUCUUCGUGUAGUCCUUUUCCCAAAAUGUAUGACUUGUCAUUGCCUCUUUGUCAAAUGCUUUAGCUUGGUUUUCAAAUCUAUAAGCUUCCGUACAUUUUAAACACAUAAAAAUUUUCAUGAAAACAUCUCUUAUUGCCCCCAGUGUAGGGGUGUGAUUCUAGUCUAGGCUUUUUGUAUAGAGAAGAAAUUCGUUCAGCCGAUGCUAAACUUUUUAGGUGCGAUAACAACAAGACAUGCACUUUUGGGAUUAAUGCAAAAAAAUGAUUGUAUAUAUAUGGUGAUUUGAAGGCAGAUUUGGCAGCUAAGAAAAUUGAAAUUAGAACGCUGAAGGUGAAGUUUGACAAGGAACGAGAAAAGGUGAAACAGUUGACCAAAAACUUGGAAGUUUCAGAAAAACAUAAAGAACAGAUCGACACCAACAACAAUACCUUGAAUCGGAACAACAUGUUGCUUAUAGAGAAGAUGGCCAAAGUAGAUGAGCAAAUGGAUGAAGCUGCCAUUCAUGCACGGUUUAUUAGAGCCAAUGCUCGAAGGGUGGGAAGGGACAUCUUUCGUUAUCGACAAAGCUUGGCUGAGACAGAUGCCUUCUUAGAGAAAAUUGAGAAUCGAGGCCUCGCUUUCCUACCAGUGGCUAGAGAUAUGAUGAAGAGGAAUAUUGAUGUAUUUUUCUUUUUAUUAUUUUGUGCCCUCUUUUUGAGAGAUGUAUUAGCCAAUAUUAAUGAAAAAGGGCUUUGACCCAUCUUUUGUAAAAAUAUAGGCCUACCAAAGCAGCAGCUUGAGCAAAACUACUCCUGAUAAGGAACGUGACAAAAAGAGUCCAUGCCCAUUACACAAGAGGAAUGUUGGCCAUCGAUCGUUUUUUUUUGAAAAAAAACAAGCUCAUUUUACAUAUGCAUUCAUGCAUUGUUUCUUUAUCAUACAUUCAUUUACAUUUUUCCAUACAUCCCAGACCGUGAAACAUAGGUCCCACAUCCAAAGUCCACCACACCCGGUCUAGAGCGAGAAUGGAGAACGAAGAGAGAGCUCACUUAGAGUCACAUUAUCAGACCGAGUUGGAGUCCGUAAAAAAUGAAGUUUCUCGGCUAACCGACUUACUCGAGCAGCUUUUAAGAGCUAAGAAUGGGUAGGGAACAUCAGCACGACAACCUGAAGAAGCGCCAGCAGUUCACAUUCCUCAAACAUCUCAAAACCAGGGGGCAAACUCGGCCAAUGGACAACAGUUUGUGCCUAUUACUCCUAUCCUACCAACUCAUACUCCAGUCACUGUUGACUUAACAGCGGAGGGAGUCCCGGAUAAUAGGUCUCCCAAUCUGAUGGACCAGGACAAGUUGUUUGCCUUGGAAGAAAGAUUAAGGGCAGUUGAGGGUAAUGACUGGUUUGACCCUAUGCGAGCAGCUGAAGUAUGUCUGGUACCAAACAUCGUGGUACCAAAAGAUUUCAGGAUACCAGAAUUCAUUAAGUACACUGGUUUGGAAUGCCCAAACACUCACCUUCGUUCCUACUGCAAUAAAAUGGCAGAAGUAAUCCGCGAUGAUAAGCUGCUAAUCUAUUUCUUUCAGGAUAGCCUCUCAGGGUCCGCUUUGAGUUGGUACAUGAGGUUAGAUAGUGUCAAGAUCAGAAGCUGGAGAGACUUGGUGGAGGCUUUCCUCAAACAGUACAAGUUUAACAUGGAAAUCGCUCCUGAUCGAACAAGUCUAAUGGCAAUGGAGAAAAGGAGCCAGGAGUUAGUAAGGGCUUAUGCGCAAAGAUGGAGGGAUGAGGCAAUGCAUGUCCAACCCCCUUUGAUAGAAACGGAGAUGGUGAGCUUGUUCGCUAAUACCUUCAAGGCACCUUAUUAUGAGCACCUAAUGGGUAGUUCCUCUCAACAUUUAUAUGAUGCGGUACGCAUAGCUGAAAGAAUAGAACAAGGGAUUAAAGCUGGGCGAAUAGCGAUGCCAGUGGAAAAGAAGGGUUUUAUUGGAAGAAAGAGAGAAGACGAUGUUAACAAUCUGGAAGGUAGGUAUAAGGGCAAGAGAGUAGAUUUCCAUAAUCCUCAAGCACCUGCCUCUCAAUUCUCACGCAUAAACUUUAACCCACCUUUUUCCCCUAAUCGAACAAAUAACCAGUCAAACUAAGUACCAGAUUGGGAAUGGUGGUUGUAGUGGUAGUGUAAGGAUAGGAGCUAUUUGUCCAAUGCUCAAAAGUUUGGCGUACAUGUCUUUCAAAGGCAUGGGUAACGGUGGCAGNNNNNNNNNNNNNNNNNNNNNNNNNNNNNNNNNNNNNNNNNNNNNNNNNNNNNNNNNNNNNNNNNNNNNNNNNNNNNNNNNNNNNNNNNNNNNNNNNNNNCUUCAGAACAACUGCCACCGUUACCCAUGCCUUUGAAGGACAUGUACGCCAAACUUUUGAGCAUUGGACAAAUAGCUCCUAUCCUUACACUACCACUACAACCACCAUUCCCAAUCUGGUACUUAGUUUGACUGGUUAUUUGUUCGAUUAGGGGAAAAUGGUGGGUUAAAGUUUAUGCGUGAGAAUUGAGAGGCAGGUGCUUGAGGAUUAUGGAAAUCUACUCUCUUGCCCUUAUACCCACCUUCCAGAUUGUUAACAUCGCCUUCUCUCUUUCUUCCAAUAAAACCCUUCUUUUCCACUGGCAUCGCUAUUCGCCCAGCUUUAAUCCCUUGUUCUAUUCUUUCAGCUAUGCGUACCGCAUCAUAGAAAUGUUGAGAGGAACUACCCAUUAGGUGCUCAUAAUAAGGUGCCUUGAAGGUAUUAGCGAACAAGCUCACCAUCUCCGUUUCUAUCAAAGGGGGUUGGACAUGCAUUGCCUCAUCCCUCCAUCUUUGCGCAUAAGCCCUUACUAACUCCUGGCUCCUUUUCUCCAUUGCCAUUAGACUUGUUCGAUCAGGAGCGAUUUCCAUGUUAAACUUGUACUGUUUGAGGAAAGCCUCCACCAAGUCUCUCCAGCUUCUGAUCUUGACACUAUCUAACCUCAUGUACCAACUCAAAGCGGACCCUGAGAGGCUAUCCUGAAAGAAAUAGAUUAGCAGUUUAUCAUCGCGGAUUACUUCUGCCAUUUUAUUGCAGUAGGAACGAAGGUGAGUGUUUGGGCAUUCCAAACCAGUGUACUUAAUGAACUCUGGUAUCCUGAAAUCUUUUGGUACCACGAUGUUUGAUACCAGACAUACUUCAGCUGCUCGCAUAGGGUCAAACCAGUCAUUACCCUCAACUGCCCUUAAUCUUUCUUCCAAGGCAAACAACUUGUCCUGGUCCAUCAGAUUGGGAGACCUAUUAUCCGGGACUCCCUCCGCUGUUAAGUCAACAGUGACUGGAGUAUGAGUUGGUAGGAUAGGAGUAAUAGGCACAAACUGUUGUCCAUUGGCCGAGUUUGCCCCCUGGUUUUGAGAUGUUUGAGGAAUGUGAACUGCUGGCGCUUCUUCAGGUUGUCGUGCUGAUGUUCCCUCCCCAUUCUUAGCUCUUAAAAGCUGCUCGAGUAAGUCCGUUAGCCGAGAAACUUCAUUUUUUACGGACUCCAACUCGGUCUGAUAAUGUGACUCUAAGUGAGCUCUCUCUUCGUUCUCCAUUCUCGCUCUAGACCGGGUGUGGUGGACUUUGGAUGUGGGACCUAUGUUUCACGGUCUGGGAUGUAUGGAAAAAUGUAAAUGAAUGUAUGAUAAAGAAACAAUGCAUGAAUGCAUAUGUAAAAUGAGCUUGUUUUUUUUCAAAAAAAAACGAUCGAUGGCCAACAUUCCUCUUGUGUAAUGGGCAUGGACUCUUUUUGUCACGUUCCUUAUCAGGAGUAGUUUUGCUCAAGCUGCUGCUUUGGUAGGCCUAUAUUUUUACAAAAGAUGGGUCAAAGCCCUUUUUCAUUAAUAUUGGCUAAUACAUCUCUCAAAAAGAGGGCACAAAAUAAUAAAAAGAAAAAUACAUCAAUAUUCCUCUUCAUCAUAUCUCUAGCCACUGGUAGGAAAGCGAGGCCUCGAUUCUCAAUUUUCUCUAAGAAGGCAUCUGUCUCAGCCAAGCUUUGUCGAUAACGAAAGAUGUCCCUUCCCACCCUUCGAGCAUUGGCUCUAAUAAACCGUGCAUGAAUGGCAGCUUCAUCCAUUUGCUCAUCUACUUUGGCCAUCUUCUCUAUAAGCAACAUGUUGUUCCGAUUCAAGGUAUUGUUGUUGGUGUCGAUCUGUUCUUUAUGUUUUUCUGAAACUUCCAAGUUUUUGGUCAACUGUUUCACCUUUUCUCGUUCCUUGUCAAACUUCACCUUCAGCGUUCUAAUUUCAAUUUUCUUAGCUGCCAAAUCUGCCUUCAAAUCACCAUAUAUAUACAAUCAUUUUUUUGCAUUAAUCCCAAAAGUGCAUGUCUUGUUGUUAUCGCACCUAAAAAGUUUAGCAUCGGCUGAACGAAUUUCUUCUCUAUACAAAAAGCCUAGACUAGAAUCACACCCCUACACUGGGGGCAAUAAGAGAUGUUUUCAUGAAAAGUUUUAUGUGUUUAAAAUGUACGGAAGCUUAUAGAUUUGAAAACCAAGCUAAAGCAUUUGACAAAAGCAUGACAAAGAGGCAAUGACAAGUCAUACAUUUUGGGAAAAGGACUACACGAAGAAAGUCAGAGACUUCUUCUCCAAGAAUAUGAUAGGAGGCAACACGAGAGAUGAAUCCAGCAUACGACUUCAAAAGCAAGCUCAUGUUAAGAGGGAGUCUCAUGAACUAGAAGAAGAGGAUGGGGCCUAUAUUUCAAAACCAGGUACGAAUGCAUGCAUGACAUCUAAUCAUAAAUCAUUGCAUAUAUGUUUUUUUCGUUACAGGAGAAGACCUUAGUGAAUUCCAAACAAGAUUGUGGACGAAGAAAGAAUCAUUGAGUUGAUUCUAGAACAACGAGAAGAUAAUAAUUUUCAAACCCUGCCAUCAGGAAGAACGACAUCGAGCAAUCGGUAAAAGGGAAUCGCCAGAUGGGAUUCCAGGUUGACCGAUUUACAAAAUAGAUUUUUUGGUUUUUGAUUAAAGGAGAUCGCCAGAAGGGAUCUCAUUAUUUCAGCUUCGAAUAAAAGGAAUCGCCAGAUGGAAUUCCAAGUUGUUUGAGAUCGCCAGAAGGGAUCUCGUAUUUCGAUAUUGGUUAAAGGAGGUCGCCAGAAGGGACCUCAUAUUUCAUAUUGAAUAAAAGGAAUCGCCAGAUGGGAUUCCAAGUUGUUUGAGAUCGUCAGAAGGGAUCUCGUAUUUCGAUAUCGGUCAAAGGAGGUCGCCAGAAGGGACCUCGUAUUUCGUUUAAGGAAUCGCCAGAUGGGAUUCCAAGUUGAUGGAGAUCGCCAGAAGGGAUCUCGUAUUUUGCUAUUUGGAGGUCACCAGAUGGGACCUCAUGUUUCAUGUUUGUUAAAAGGUCCAAGUUGAAUAAAGGAGAUCGCCAGAAGGGAUCUCGUGUUUCGCUAUUUGGAGGUCGCCAGAUGGGACCUCGUAGUACAUGUUGGUUAAAAGGAAUCGCCAGAUGGAAUUCCAAGUUGAAUAAAGGAGAUCGCCAGAAGGGAUCUCGUGUUUCGCUAUUUGGAGGUCGCCAAAUGGGACCUCGUAUUACCUGUUGAAUAAAAGGAAUCGCCAGAUGGGAUUCCAAGUUGAAGGAGAUCGCCAGAAGGGAUCUCGUAUUUCGCUAUUUGGAGGUCGCCAGAUGGGACCUCAUAUUUCGUUUGAAUGAAAGGAAUCGCCAGAUGAGAUUCCAAGUUGAUGGAGAUCGCCAGAAGGGAUCUCGUAUUUUGCUAUUUGGAGGUCGCCAGAUGGAACCUCAUGUUUCAUGUUUGUUAAAAGGAAUCGCCAGAUGAGAUUCCAAGUUGAAUAAAGGAGAUCGCCAGAAGGGAUCUCGUGUUUCGCUUUUUGGAGGUCGCCAGAUGGGACCUCGUAUUACGUUGGUUAAAAGGAAUCGCCAUAUGGGAUUCCAAGUUGAAUAAAGGAGAUUGCCAGAAGGGAUCUCGUGUUUCGCUAUUUGGAGGUCGCUAGAUGGGACCUCGUAUUACCUGUUGAAUAAAAGGAAUCGCCAGAUGGGAUUCCAAGUUGAUUAAAGGAGAUCGCCAGAAGGGAUCUCGUGUUUCGCUAUUUGGAGGUCGCCAGAUGGGACCUCGUAUUACAUGUUGGUUAAAAGGAAUCGCCAGAUGGGAUUCCAAGAUUGAAUAAAGGAGAUCGCGAGAAGGGAUCUCGUAUUUCGCUAUUUGGAGGUCGCCAGAUGGGACCUCAUAUUUCGUUUGAAUAAAAGGAAUCGCCAGAUGGGAUUCCAAGUUGAAGGAGAUCGCCAGAAGGGAUCUCAUGUUUCGCUAUUUGAAGGUCGCCAGAUGGGACCUCGUAUUUCAUGUUGGGUAAAAAAAAAAAAAAAGGGAAUCGCCAGAUGGGAUUCCAAGUUGAAGAGGAUUGCUGUAAAAGACAAGUUUCAGAUCAAUCAAGCUUCAACCAGAUCAGUUUCGGGAGUUUUGUUUUGGGUUUAUCUUUAUAAAACUUACUGCGCAAAACCUCUGCUCCGUAAGCAUUAUAAAGAGGGGGCAUCUGUUGUAACCCAUUUUUGGGUCCCCACAAAAUAUAUAUAAAAAUAUAUAGCCAGAGGAGGUUAGAAAAAUAACAGGAGGCAGAAGCGCUCAGAAAAUGGUUGGAAAAUUGGUCAAUGAGGUUAAAAAUACAAAGAUUGGAUUUUUGACAGUAUAUUCUUGAAGGAGGAGAGCCCUGUUGAGAAGGAAAAUUUGAAAUUUGAGGAGAAAAGCCCAAAUUUGGAUGUUUGUGGACUUAAUUGGAUUUUUAAAUGAAUUUAUAGGAGAUUUGAUUGUAAGAUAAAUUGAUUUUUAAGUCAAUUUGGGCUUUAAUUAGAAGAAAUUUAAGUUCUGGGGCCAAAAUAUAUUUUUUAGGAAUUUAUUAGGUCAAAUCAGGGGCCUAAUUGCAUAAAUAUUGAAGUUUAAGGGCCAAUUGGGGACUUAAUUGAGAAAAUCUGAAACCAGGAACCAAAUUGGAAGAGGCGCGUAAAUGGAGGGGUUGGAAUUAAUUGAUUCAGGGGCCUAAUUGAAGAAAUUGGAAGUUUUUUGAUCAAUUAAGGGCUCAAUUGCAUAAAUCAGAGGCCAAGGACUAAAGUGAAAAACGCGGCCAACAAGAGGGGCGAAGACCGAAAUUGGCAGGGACGCAAUUGAAGGAAAAAAAGAUGAUUAAGGGCUGAUUUGGAAUUUGGCGCGUUUUGGCGCCACAUUUAAAUGAAACGGCGCGUUUUCUCCAAAACGACGCCGUUUCAUACAUUCAAAAGAAAAAAAAGAAAAGAAAGAGCAGAACGGUGUCGUUUUGAACGACACUGUUCCUCUUUCUUCUUCCCCCUGAACAUGCAGCGGGGAAGAAGGAAAAAGGAUGCUUUAAUUUGAAUUUUUUGCCGGUCCUUCUCUCGCCUGGAUCCCACCGACCGAACACACUGGCCGACCACGCACCUGCCAGAAAACCGGGUGGAGCCGAACCUUGGCAGUCGCGCCCAAUGGCCGACCAGCUGGCUGCUCCCCAUGAGAAAAAGCCACGCCCUUGGCUCUAUAAAUAGAACCCAAGAACGCUGAGAAAUGGACGAGGAGGAAGGGUGAGAAAGACCCGAAAGGAGAGAACGGAGAGGGGGAGAAAAAAAGAAAGAAAACCCGAAAAGAGGAGAAAAGGGGAGAGAGACCCGAAGAAGAGAGAAACCGAGAGGAGAGAAGAAAAGAAAAAAAACAGACCGAGAGAAGAGAGGGAAGGGAAGAAAAAAGGAAGACCGAAACAUAGAAAGAGGAAGGAAGAGUUGAAAAUUUAGGGAAAACAAACCGGGAGGGCUGUCACGGGAAAACACUAAAAAACAGAGCGCCGCCGCUGCUGCUUGGAGCCGCCGUCCGUGAGCCAAGACGCCGCCACCAGCCUCCGCCACAGCACCGCCAGAAACGCAGCAAGCCACCGCCACUGUGCCAGGUAACUCUUCUCUACCCUCACUCUUGUUUUUUUUUUCCUUUUCUGCAUGCAGAACGAAUAGCGUUCUGCAUGCAGGGGUGGGGGGGAAAUAAUUCCCCCCGCCCGUUUUGGUUGCUGGGCCAGGCAGAUCCUGGCCCAGCCCUGCCUUCUGGGCCGGUCCUGGUCCAGAAGGGAAUAUUAGAUUUUUAGGCCAAAGUCAGCCCAACACCUUUGGGGCUGAGUCCGGCCCAGCCCAGCCCAAUUUAAUUUUAUAUUAUGUAUAUUAUUUGUUUGUUGCAUUAUAUAUAUAUAUAUAUAUAUAUAUAUAUAUAUAUAUAUAUAUAUGAAAAAAUUACGAAAAUUCUGCAAAAAUUAUUUUAAAAAUAUUGUUGAUUUUUCUGCAUUUGUUUUAUCAAAAUGGAUUAAUAUUUGGUUGUAUUUUUAUACCGUAAGGAUACAAAACUCAGUAUUAAAAUACCCGAUUUGCGUCAAAACAUACAAAAAAAUACAUAUUUAAAAAAUGUUUUGUUUUAAAAUACAGCCUAGUUUCUCCAAUAUAUAUAUAUAAAUAUUAUAACAUCAUAUUCUUCAUAUAACAAAGAAAAUUUCAAAACAAUAUAUGUAUUAGCAUGCAUUUUGGCUUUAAUAACCAGUUUGUUCAAGCCAUGAGAACUAGGCCAAUAUUUCAAAAAUUCUAAAAAAUCUUUUUGUUUACGAAUAUUAAACAUAAAACGUAUUCCUGAUAUUAAAAAUAUGAUUUUUUUACAUAGACGUUAGAACGGUUAGGUUUUACCCGAUAAGAUAAGGACCUCCUUAUUGAGGACGACUUUUCUUGAACCAUAGACGGACCAACAUACAUAGACGUUAGAACGGUUAAGUUUUACCCGAUAAGAUAAGGACCUCCUUAUUGAGGAGGACUUUUCUUGAACCAUAGACGGACCAACAACUAGGAAACACAACGAGACCUUGAAUUUUAUCAGACAAAUAAACAAUGCAGCUUACCUUAGGUAGGGCGUAUUUGGGGUGCUAAUACCUUCCCUUUACGCAACCAGUCCCCGUGCCCGAUCUCUGAGACCAGUUAGGGUUCCUAGUGACCAAAAUACUAGGUGGCGACUCCCACACCUUUUUUUCAUUGCUAAGAGAAAGAAUUCCUUGUCUCCUCAUAUUUACCAUAUAUAUAUAUCCCCCUAUCACACAUUUGAGGGUGGACGAUCGCCGCGACGUCACGCACCCGCGACACAUACAACAGGCUCAAAACUCAAAGGAGAAGAAAAGGAAUAUGAAGCUUCAGGUCACUAUGAAACUCCUUGGAAGGACAAUCGAUCUCGUAGAGUGUCAAAAAUUGAUGAAGCAGCUGUAUUUUGUGCAAAACUCAAUUUCAAUCGACCAAGCAAUUCACCAUCUUUUGCCUGAGAAGCAGCAUCAGCAGCUUCCUUGGCCAUGCCAAUCCGAGCAUAUGCCUGUAAAAAUCAGAGAGGGACCUGAGCAAAGGUGAUCUAAACAAAAGUGACGAAUAACACAUACAAGGAGAAGAAAAAAAGGCACAUGGUCUGAUUACCUCAGCUCUUUCUCUGGGAUCUGCAAGUUUUGGGAUAUAUUUCAGAGCUUCACCUUUCUCAGCCGCAUCAAUGCAUGCCUCCACAAAUGGCCUGAAACCUAUCAGAUGCACCCCCCC
rnacentral:lncRNA from 1 species